GGAGUUAGCCGGUGAUUCUUCUGCGAGUAACGUCACAGAUGUAAGGUAUUAACUUACACCCUUUCCUCCUCGCUGAAAGUGCUUUACAACCCGAAGGCCUUCUUCACACACGCGGCAUGGCUGCAUCAGGGUUUCCCCCAUUGUGCAAUAUUCCCCACUGCUGCCUCCCGUAGGAGUCUGGGCCGUGUCUCAGUCCCAGUGUGGCUGAUCAUCCUCUCAGACCAGCUAGGGAUCGUCGCCUAGGUGAGCCUUUACCUCACCUACUAGCUAAUCCCACCUGGGCUUAUCCAUCAGCGCAAGGCCCGAAGGUCCCCUGCUUUCCCCCGUAGGGCGUAUGCGGUAUUAGCAGUCGUUUCCAACUGUUAUCCCCCACAAAUGGGCAAAUUCCCAGGCAUUACUCACCCGUCCGCCGCUCGUCAUCUUCAAAGCAAGCUUUUGAAUGUUACCGCUCGACUUGCAUAUGUUAGGCCUGCCGCCAGCGUUCAAUCUGAGCCAUGAUCAAACUCUGA
rnacentral:rRNA from 1 species